UACGUAGGGGGCAAGCGUUGUCCGGAUUUAUUGGGCGUAAAGAGCGUGUAGGCGGCCAGAUAGGUCCGUUGUGAAAACUGGAGGCUUAACCUCCAGCGGUCGAUGGAAACCAUCUGGCUAGAGUCCGGGAGAGGAGAGUGGAAUUCCUGGUGUAGCGGUGAAAUGCGCAGAUAUCAGGAAGAACACCCGUGGCGAAAGCGGCUCUCUGGAACGGUACUGACGCUGAGACGCGAAAGCGUGGGGAGCGAACAGG
rnacentral:rRNA from 1 species